CGUUAAUACAAAUUUAUUCAUCUAAACAUAUUCACCCAUUUGUAAGUAUAAAGGAGGUGAACAUUUCAAUUUUUCCGAUGGAAUAAUUAUUUUCCCCUUUUGAAAAUCAUGUUUUAUUCAUACUUUAGUACAUAUUUAUUUUGUUCAAAUAUAUUUUCAUUUUUAUUUAGUUUUGGGCAAAGUUAUUUAUUUUCAGUUCUUACCAGGCCAAAAUACUUAUUUUCAUUCUGUUUUGGGCAAGGGUAUUAGUUUUAGAUUCUUAAAGGACCAAAAUAUUCAUUUUCAUUCUGUUUGCAGGCAAGGUUAUUUAUUUUCAAGUCUUACUAGACCAGAAUUUAUUUUUCAAAAUCCAGCAAGCCCACCCCUGAAUAUCAUUUUAAUAAAGAUGAGUUUCAACUAAACUCACAAACUGAAAAUAGCUAGACUGAAACUUGAAGUGUCUGUUUUUACCAAUUUUCAUUCCAUAUUUUGAAAUUUUCCUUGUUAAAGCCUAGACGUAGGAUCCUAUAGAUCUUACAGAAGUUUCGUAAGAAUAGUAUUACGUAUCAUCUUACGGAGUAAAUUACACCUAUUAAAUAUGGUUGUCUUGGGAAUAAAAGCAAUUUAUUUUGUAUCUCCAUGUAACAUUAUAACUACAUACUAGUGAUAAUGUUACAAUUUAAAUAGGAUCAACAGAUUAAAUACGACAUUUAAGCAUUGUUAAAAGUGUUACAAGUAGUUGACAUUUGCAGAUCAAAAUUAACUUUAAAAAAUUGACCUACAAACAUAUUAUUAUGGGACAACUAGUAUUGGUUAUAAAAGAGGUCAAUGUUGAAUAGAAAUCAAAGCAAUCAUGUCUCACCAUCAAUAUUAAAAUCUAAUUCUAAUUCUUUUUGAUUGAUUGAAAAUUGAUUAAAUGUUUGAAAAAGUGUUCAAGAACAGUGGCAGAUCCAGGGGGUGCAGGGGUUUCAUUAUCUUUCAUGUUGACUGGUACUUUCCACGUUUCUAGGUGGUACUUUUCAAUUUAUUCCAUGAUUCCAUGAAUAUCAUAUAUAAAAAUUCAUACAUUUAGGUGGUACUUGUCAAUAGCAUAGGAGGGUAAAAGUACCGGGUACCGCCUCCUAAUGAAUGGUCUGGGGGUGGGGCAUUUGGGGGUUGGAAACCCCCCUCCUUUUUGUUCAGAAGAUCAAUGCAUUUGAAUGGGGACAUAUGGUUGGAACCCCCAUUUAUCCUGGGAUGGAAACCCCCCUUUUUAAAAGUGACUGGAUCCACCUCUGAAAGAACAUGCAGAAAAUUAUAAAAAAUUUCAAACAUUUUGUUGUGAGAGCAGAAGUUAUGUUUAACAAAGUUUUCUUAUGUCUUCAACUGUUCCCAUAAUAUUUUAAGACCUUCAAAUGACAUUUGCCCUUACUACAUAAUAAAUUCUACUUUUAACCCAUUAUACAUGUAGGAUCCCAUUUAACUCCAAACAUUAAUUUACAGAACUGAUAAAUAAUUAAUAAAAUGUUACAUUAUCAAUAAUUC
rnacentral:lncRNA from 1 species